AGUGCCUCUCGGCUUCGCGGGGGGGCGACCUCCUCUCACGGGGGGUGCUCCUUGUAUAGUAGAGAGCAACACUCUCCGAAGAGGCGAGGCAGGAAUGGAAGUACCCAUCCCAUCACCCGCCGACGAAGAAGGAGCCAUGGAGUGCUUUCGACCCUUUCCCACCAUCUUUCAACACCUGUCAUGACAAAGAGUAAACGAAAUUAGUACAACAUAAAUACCAACAGGAUUGAUAAAAUGUACAUAAUUUAAGUGUAUCAUCGUCAUAAAUACCAACAUGACUAAUAAAAAUUGAACACCUAACAUGAACUCAAAAUUUAUAUAUAGUAUAAUAGUUGAAUACCUGACAUGAACUAAUAACAAUCGUGCUCGUCUAUAUAUGCUUCGGGGUCAAUAAAUGCAUCAUGAUCAUCACUAUCAUCAAUAAAUUCAUCAUCAUCAUCACUACCACGAAGAACAUGUGGAACGCCACCAUUAUGUAAUCGGUCAAGAAGUGACAGGUCAUCCGCAGCAGUAACCUCUUCUUCUUCUAGCUCUUCCUGUUCGGGCUUAGGGGUUAAGACGGAUUCAUUGUCGCUAUCUACUUCAAUGUUCUGGGGUGAAGUGGAGCGGUUCUUGAAACGUUUCUUGGACAUACGUCUUUCUUGGAAGAAUUCUCCUUCAUAUGUGUCUGGGUUAAUGUGAGGUUCGUAAUCCUCUUCAUUGAGGGUAGGUGGUCUAAAAUGUGGUGGCCCUUCAUAAACGACAUCCCAACCUUUGAGAUUUGGAUCAGUUUGGCAGGCCCAUGGUAGAUAGAAAACUUGUGUCGCCUGUUGAGCUGUAAUAUAGACAUCGGGAACAUCUAAGUGGGUGUUUUGAUUGAUUUCGACUAGUCCUAUAUGUUCAUGAGUCCUUCUAGUCUCCCUCGGCUCAAACCAAUAACAUUUGAAGACUAUGACGGUCGGUGGGUUUUCACCAUAGAAUAGAAGUUCAUAAAUUGCUUCAACUCUUCCAUACUACUCGGUGUCUCCUUCACCGAUAGCAGAGACAGAACAAUUUGUAGACAUUAGGUCGGGCAUAGAUAGCUCUUUGACAAAGGUACGAAAGUGAUACCCGUUGAUGUUGUAUUUGUCAAAUGAACGGACCUUAUAGUCAAAACCAUUAGCGACUUGUCUCAACUCGGCGUCCAUAGACACUGCAUCAGCCUACAAAUUUAAUACAAAAGAACGGAUGCAUUAGCCGCAACUUAGACCAAGAAAUCAAAUGGGCCCUUAAUGGUAAUUAAUUACUCUUUGUUUGAACGAAGAGAUGAAACCGGGACAGUCGCCUCCAUGCUUUGCGAGAAGCUCAUACUCUUCGACGAAAUCCUUUUCAAUGACCGCUCCAUCCGAGAAUUCACGACGUAUCGACUAUAUCAAAUAUCUGGGAAUGAGAGUAGUUCAAAGCAAUUAGAAGUAGCGGAACAAUAAAUUACCGAGAACUUACUCGAUGUACGGCCGCACUUCUGUUAGGUUGGUGAAGAUAUACAAUGAAAUGGUCCGCCAUUCUUUGACAUCCAACGAUUUCCCUUUCGACGCACCGGAUGGUGCGAGCUUUCCUUUGAAUAGGCUGAGGUUGGAUCGAACUUUUUUCGAGCACCAUCAUUGUACCGAGGCUUCGGGUUAUGCAAAUGAUGAUUUUUGGCUUCGUAGUGUGCUGUCACGAAGUUUGCCGCCUCCUCAGUAAUGAAUGCCUCGGCCAUUGAUGCUUCAAUUCUAUGUUUAUUUUUACACUUAGCUCGAAGCGUCUUCUGCGUCCUCCCAGUUGAGUAGCACCAUCGAUUUUGAACCGCCCCCCCUCCACAUUCUUGAAUCGGUCGGGAGAUGCCAAAUCAAAUGUUGCAUUGGAUUAAAGAAGCCCGGUGGAAAGAUCUUUCCUAAUUUGCAGAUCAACUCCGGCGCCAACUCUUCCAUUUCAUCUAGCAUGCCACGCUAUAGUUCUUUCGCACAAAGAGAAUGGAAGAAAUAGCUCCGCUCUGCCAGUACUAGCCAUUCAUCCUCAGGGAUAAAGCCACGCAACAUCACCGGCAUUACCCGCUCAAUCCAUAUGUGCCAAUCAUGACUCUUGAGCCCAAAUAUUUUCAAUUUCUCAAGACUCGCUCCCCUCUUUAGAUUCGCAGAAUACCCAUCGGGGAACAUCAACCGCAUUUUCACCCACAAUAGCAUUUCCCUCAUAGCUGGCCUUUCAAGAUUGAACCAUGCCUUUGGCUUCGCUAUGCUUUGCUUUCCUUUCCGUUGUCGCAAGUUUUGGAAAGGUCUAUCACAUAGAGCCUCCAGGUCGAUUCUAGCCUUAGGAUUAUCUUUUGACUUCCCCUCUAUGCCGAACAAUGUACCAAAAAUGGCCUCCGCAAUAUUGUUUUCAGUGUGCAUCACGUCAACGUUGUGUGGGCAAAGGAGGUCUUUGAAGUAAGGCAGAUCCCAUAAGCAAGACUUGUGAGUCCAGGCGUGUUCCGUAUUAUACCCUUUGAAGUAUCCUGGAUGCAAAGGAUCAGGCUCGAGAGCGUUUAACUGAUCAAGGGUGUGUUGGCCUGUCAACGCAGCUGGUGCAGUGUUUUUGAUAACUCUACCUUUGAUGAAAUUCUUCUUGUCUUUUCUGAACUUAUGGUCAGGAUCCAGGAAUUGUCUAUGCAUGUCGAAGCAAGAAUACUUGCGACCAGCCUGCAGCCAACGGAACUGAGGAGCCGCCUUGCAUGUGGUGCACGGGAACCUUCCAUGCACACACCAGCCAGCGAAUAGCGCAAACGCCGGAUAAUCAUGCGUCGAGUACAUGUACCACACACGCAUUUUGAAAUUUCUUUUGAGCCGCGUCGUAGGUCUUGAUCCCAUUAUCCCAGCCUUCUUGCAACUCAUCCUUAAGCGGCUGCAUGUAAACAUUCAUAUUCUUCCCCGGAUAGUUGGGCCCUGGAAUUAUCAACGUCAGGAAAAUGUUCUUUCUUUUCAUAAUCUCUCCGGGUGGCAAAUUUAGUGGAAUGACAAAUACAAGCCAACAACUGUAUUGUGCUGCCGUCAUACCAUACACAUUGAACCCAUCCGUGCUGAUGGCAACUCUAGGUUGCCUUGGAUCUUCCGAUUUAUCCCUAUGUAAUGCAUCGAAGUGCCUCCACGCAAAACCAUCUGAAGUGUGUACCAGCAUCUUGUUCCCAUCCGCAUCUAGUUCGGCUCUUUUGCUCAAUUUGUGCCAUGUCAUCUGUCUGGCCGUCUCUUCGACCAUGAAAAGACGUUGAAGUUUUGGCACGAUUGGCAGAUACUGAAGAACACUAAUUGGGAUUUUGGUCUGAUUCUUCUCACCCAUGCCGUUGUCUACCACAAUAUACCUGGAAGAAUUGCAAAUGGGGCAAUAGUUCAAGGCCGCAUACUCAAGCCUAAAUAAGGCACAUCCAUUCUCACAGGCAUGUAUCUUCUCAUAGGGCAUCUUAAGUACACGGAGGAUUUUCUCUGACUGGUACAGGUUUGCAAGCAGUACAUGGCCUUUGGGUAGAAAGCGUCCAAAUAUCCGCAUCAUCGCGUCGUAGCAUUCUCUGCCUAGGUUGAAUUGAGCCUUCAAAGCCAUUACUUGCGCGAUGGCAUCUAGCUGACAAAGCUCAGUCUGCUCGUGGAGAGGACGUUUUGAAGACUCCAACAUUUCAUGGAAGGCCUUUGCAGAUUCCUCCAUCUCAUCGCCGAAUCCCGAGCAUCAUCAAAGUUUUGCACCAAGUCUUCAAUCCCGGUACCAUGCUCGUCUGUGCAUCGACGAAUCACCUCAGCUCUGGCACGUUGGUCAGACUCACCAUGAAAAGUCCACACCGUAUAAAUAGGCGUAAAACCCCACUUCUGCAGGUGUUUACCCAUUUCAAACUCUGUCUGCUUUUUCCAGUUGUCGCAGUUGGGACAGGGGAACCAUGUUUUUUGCUGGCCAUUUGCAAAUGCGGCUCUCACAAACCCCCUAGUUUUUGUUAACCAUUCAUGGGUCAUGUCUUUCUGACUAGGGUGACCAGUGUACAUCCAAGCACGAUCACUCAUGUUGCCUAGCUACCUAUGGGGGCACAAGAAAUAAAUAUAUAAUUCAUCAUCUAUAUUCAUACGCUAAUCAAGUUUGUCAGUUUUAUUACGUCCAUGCAACCUACAUGCUAAUAGGUAAAGAUAGGUCCUAAUCCCACCCGAGUAUGUGUAGACUGGGUUCGUUUUCCCAUGCUCUGCUCUAGAUGCGACGCGGAAUUUCUGCAGCACCUCCCCGUUGUUCUCCUGAUACACGUUUCGGCAAUAACAGAGAGGAUGUGUACCCGGAGAACAACAGGGAAGGCACUGACGAAAUUCCACAUUGGAUCCGGAGCACAGCAUACAGGAAAACAAACCCAAUCUACACAUACUCCGGCUGUCCGUGAAUAUUGUUGGACAAUUCGAAAGGAUGGCGGUUAUAAAUAUGCAAAGAGAUGAAUAGUUAUAGAUGUCGCCCUUUCGAAUGGGAGACGCAUACUGGUCACGCAUACUCAUGAUUGAAGAAACCUAUAGCUAGCAAGUUUCAUCGGCACGAAGACCGGGACAGAGCAAAUUAAGGGGGUAGGAGGAGAAGUCAUUUGUGCUCACCAACAAACGCAAAGGCGCAGCUCGUCCAACGCACGUGGAGGUCGUCGAACAACU
rnacentral:lncRNA from 1 species